rnacentral:lncRNA from 1 species
CUCUGAAACCCACCUGUAUAGAACUUCAUGAGGGACGGCACCAGCAGUUUGGUAGAGAGAGGAUGGUUCUCAAUCAUCUCAAAGAACUUCUGAGUUCUCGGCUGGACAGAAGGGUUGGUCAUGAACAUGACCUCCACCAGCUUGGCCACUAGCAUCAACAGUUCUGUGCUACUCUCCAGCAAAACAUCUGUCUGCUAGGCUGCAACAUGUCAGAGGGCCGCCUGCCAGAGGAGACACACAGAGCCACAUCGUGCUAAGUGGAUGUUAAGCUUCUUACAGACCCUUAGUCACAACAAUGGAAUAUAAGGGAGGCUACAGAGCUGAAAGAAGAGCUCAGGACAUUCCGCAUCCUGACGUUCGGAGCGACGAGGAUGAGAGGGCCAGGCCCACGUCACUCACAGAGCUCUGUCAGCCGCUCAUUCACAUCCUCCAUCGUUGCAUUUAUCCGUGUCUCAUCAUUCGGGACAGUGAUCCGACAUCUUGGGUGGAAUAUGUAAGUGGGGUCAACGGUUUCUAACUUGAUUUUUGUACUUAGCUGCUGCAGGACCCAAAGGAGAUUCAGCAUAAACCCGUCUGUAGACACCAACCGAUCAUCUGCCUGGGACAUAAGACGUGAAGCAACUGAAACAAUUGUUAGGCACACAUUUUGCAAAUCUAUGAAAGCACAUUCAAAUGUAACCAGGCCCUAAAGCCAGUGACAGACACGUGGCUACCACUGUCAAUCAGCUAGCAGGUGCCAGCCCAGCAAGGUUCUACCUAUCCAUCACCACAGACUCACUGACCUCUGUAAUAACCCAUAGUCCAUACACUAUAACUCACAUUUCAGAGAAGAAUCAAUGAAUCAGUGUCAGUAAGUAAAAACACAGCAACUGUAGCUUCCUUUUCCUUUCUUAUUUCUCAAGAGCAAUGAGCUGUCCUUAGCCCACAUGACAGCUUUCCCAUCUUACACAGUGAAUACAGCCCUGGCUGAAUGACAGAGGUUCAGGAAUCACGACACACUCAGAACGAUUCUAAUGGUCUAUAUGUAAAAGGCUCACAAAUUAGUGGUCACUCUUAAACCCACUUAGCAAAUGAAGAAACUGAGGCACAGAGAAGUAACUAUCAGAUGUGGCCAACUUACCGACUACAUGUGGCAAAAGCCAGCUGUAAAUGUGGCCCAAUGUAAAACUAUAGACUUACACAGAACAUGAUGGAUUUUUGCACAUGACCUCUUUGACUGUGUAUUCUUGGCUGUUGAGUUAUGGGUGACACUACCAUGUGACAAUGUCAACAGAUGACAUACCAGAAUACUAAUGAGUGUCUAAAGACACUGGGAUUUUGCAAUUCUCCAUACUUUCCCACACCUUGUCAUUUUGUGGCUGACACGUUUCCUUCUGUGGAUUCUACUAGAGUUCUCAUCGGUAAAAUAGACUCAAAAGCAUGUUACCUGCCCAUGUCCCCCGAGUCAAAGGAACUGUGUGUGCUGGGCUUGCAAUAAAGCUGGCUCAUUUCUAACCUAACACACGAUCACCAGGAGGGCUCUUUUCUCAGCCUUGUAAGGAGCAGCUCUUCAGUCGAAGCUUUAAUACAAGGCUGUUCUGCUGCCUGAUCAACAGCCACCCCUGUGCUGCCGUUCUGGCAUUUUACAAGUACGCCUGAAUCCUUCACACUUCCAUCAGCGACUACUACUGCCUGGAUGCUGUGCUUGCAUGGCCACCCCCUGCCUGAGACCUCGGGCUGCACAGAAGCAGGAUGCUUGCCCGUCUUGUUCUGUGCUGCCUUCCCAACCCCCAGAACGCAGCUUGGGAGGCGCAAAGUCACAUCUGCACUGGAGAAACAGGUUUAAUGAGUAACUGAAAGCACUUGGGGACUCCUACCUGCAUCUGGGCUUUCUUCAUGUUGGCAUUGACAAGGGCCGCCAUGUAGCUGAGAGCCGCUUCACGAGUUUCGCCGUUUAACAAAAUACUAUGUAGAAUCUUGAAAAGUUCUUGCUAAAUUAUUUUCAAAAUGAAAAAA